GACGAACGCUGGCGGCGUGCUUAACACAUGCAAGUCGAACGGAAAGGCCCUGCUUUUGUGGGGUGCUCGAGUGGCGAACGGGUGAGUAACACGUGAGUAACCUGCCCUUGACUUUGGGAUAACUUCAGGAAACUGGGGCUAAUACCGGAUAGGAGCUCCUGCUGCAUGGUGGGGGUUGGAAAGUUUCGGCGGUUGGGGAUGGACUCGCGGCUUAUCAGCUUGUUUGUGGGGUAGUGGCUUACCAAGGCUUUGACGGGUAGCCGGCCUGAGAGGGUGACCGGCCACAUUGGGACUGAGAUACGGCCCAGAAUCCUACGGGAGGCAGCAGUGGAGAAUAUUGCACAAUGGGCGGAAGCCUGAUGCAGCAACGCCGCGUGCGGGAUGACGGCCUUCGGGUUGUAAACCGCUUUCGCCUGUGACGAAGCGUGAGUGACGGUAAUGGGUAAAGAAGCACCGGCUAACUACGUG
rnacentral:rRNA from 1 species